rnacentral:rRNA from 1 species
AUACGUAUGUCGCAAGCGUUAUCCGGAUUUAUUGGGCGUAAAGCGCGUCUAGGCGGCUUAGUAAGUCUGAUGUGAAAAUGCGGGGCUCAACCCCGUAUUGCGUUGGAAACUGCUAAACUAGAGUACUGGAGAGGUAGGCGGAACUACAAGUGUAGAGGGGAAAUUCGUAGAUAUUUGUAGGAAUGCCGAUGGGGAAGCCAGCCUACUGGACAGAUACUGACGCUAAAGCGCGAAAGCGUGGGUAGCAAACAGGAUUAGAUACCCUGGUAGUCCACGCCGUAAACGAUGAUUACUAGGUGUUGGGGGUCGAACCUCAGCGCCCAAGCUAACGCGAUAAGUAAUCCGCCUGGGGAGUACGUACGCAAGUAUGAAACUCAAAUGAAUUGACGGGG